CCUACGGGAGGCAGCAGUGGGGAAUAUUGGGCAAUGGAGGAAAGCCUGACCCAGCAACGCCGCGUGAAGGAAGAAGGCCUUCGGAUUGUAAAGUUCUUUUAUAAGGGACGAAGCAAGUGACGGUACCUGAGGAAUAAGCCACGGCUAACUACGUGCCAGCAGCCGCGGUAAUACGUAGGAGGCAAGCGUUAUCCGGAUUGACUGGGCGUAAAGGGCGUGUAGGCGGGAGGGCAAGUUAGUUGCGAAAACUAAAGGCUCAACCCAUGGCCUGCUUCUGAAACUGUUGUUCUUGAGUGCUGGAGAGGCAAUCGGAAUUCCGUGUGUAGCGGUGAAAUGCGUAGAUAUAAGGAGGAACACCAGUGGCGAAGGCGGAUUGCUAGACUGUAACUGACGCUGAGGCGCGAAAGCGUGGGGAGCAAACAGGAUUAGAUACCCGUGUAGUC
rnacentral:rRNA from 1 species